rnacentral:rRNA from 1 species
CUUUCGGGGUGAGCGGCGGACGGGUUAGUAACGCGUGGGAAUAUACCCUUUUCUACGGAAUAGCCUCUGGAAACGGAGAGUAAUACCGUAUGAGCCCUUCGGGGGAAAGAUUUAUCGGGAAAGGAUUAGCCCGCGUUAGAUUANGUAGUUGGUGGGGUAAUGGCCUACCAAGCCUACNAUCUAUAGCUGGUUUUAGAGGAUGAUCAGCAACACUGGGACUGAGACACGGCCCANACUCCUACGGGAGGCAGCAGUGGGGAAUCUUGGACAAUGGGGGCAACCCUGAUCCAGCCAUGCCGCGUGAGUGAUGAAGGCCUUANGGUCGUAAAGCUCUUUCGCCUGUGAAGAUAAUGACGGUAGCAGGUAAAGAAACCCCGGCUAACUCCGUGCCAGCAGCCGCGGUAAUACGAGGGGGUUAGCGUUGUUCGGAAUUACUGGGCGUAAAGCGCACGUAGGCGGACCAAAAGUUGGGGGUGAAAUCCCGGGGCUCAACCCCGGAACUGCCUCCAAAACUAUUGGUCUAGAGUUCGAGAGAGGUGAGUGGAAUUCCAAGUGUAGAGGUGAAAUUCGUAGAUAUUUGGAGGAACACCAGUGGCGAAGGCGGCUCACUGGCUCGAUACUGACGCUGAGGUGCGAAAGUGUGGGGAGCAAACAGGAUUAGAUACCCUGGUAGUCCACACCGUAAACGAUGAAUGCCAGUCGUCGGGUAGCAUGCUAUUCGGUGACACACCUAACGGAUUAAGCAUUCCGCCUGGGGAGUACGGUCGCAAGAUUAAAACUCAAAGGAAUUGACGGGGGNCCGCACAAGCGGUGGAGCAUGUGGUUUAAUUGAAGCAACGCGCAGAACCUUACCAACCCUUGACAUCCCGGGACCGGUCCAGAGAUGGAUCUUUCACUUCGGUGACUCGGUGACAGGUGCUGCAUGGCUGUCGUCAGCUCGUGUCGUGAGAUGUUCGGUUAAGUCCGGCAACGAGCGCAACCCACAUCCCUAGUUGCCAGCAGUUCGGCUGGGCACUCUAUGGAAACUGCCCGUGAUAAGCGGGAGGAAGGUGUGGAUGACGUCAAGUCCUCAUGGCCCUUACGGGUUGGGCUACACACGUGCUACAAUGGCAGUGACAAUGGGUUAAUCCCAAAAAACUGUCUCAGUUCGGAUUNGGGUCUGCAACUCGACCCCAUGAAGUCGGAAUCGNUAGUAAUCGCGUAACAGCAUGACGCGGUGAAUACGUUCCCGGNCCUUGUACACACCGCCCGUCACACCAUGGGAGUUGGUUCUACCCGACGGCCGUGCGCUAACCUUU